AUGGCGCUGUGCUGUUCGGGCUGCAACAUGACGGGCAGCGGUUCUACGUCCCCUCUCAGAGCAGCUCUUUCAUGCAGCUUUGCAAAUAACAAGAACUUCAAGUAUUUUGGAAUGGAGGAAGUUGUCUGCAUAGGCCUCGUGGCACCAUUGUCUAGGGCUUGUUUGCUGUUGCCCACUUGUACCUCAUGGAAGCCUCAAGCGUGGAAGCCAGCGCACAUAUACACACUCAUUCAGGCUCAGGCAUGA
rnacentral:rRNA from 1 species